GACAUCUCAAUGGACAGGUCACUGUGACAAUGACGCUGCUACAAACGGGCACUGUGACUCUGCUGCUCUCAGCUACUGUCAAAGGCUACGCUGUGUGCGAAUCUGAAUGCACAAUAGGGAUCCACGGGAACCCUAGGUGGACAGAAAGGUACCUUGGCUAGCAGUUACACUGGGAGUUUUCAGAAGGGCAAAUGAUUCACCCACAGCUUUUUUGCAUCAUUUUUUAUUUCUACAGAGGAUUCUGACAGAAGGCUCACUUCCCUUUGAGAGUUGUCCUUUUUCUCUAAAGGCUGGUGCACUUAUAUGGAGAGGCCAUGGAUUCUUCCUGAAGAUGUAGUGUUUGCUGGAGUGUUGAACAGUUACUGAAGAAUUUCUACUUUAAUAAGGGGAACAAGCCUGUUAAGAUUUGGCAGAAUCGCAGUGGUCUAUAUUUAAAUAUGUGAGACCUGGCCUUGUAAUCAGGUCUUCUUCCUUUGGUCAGACAAUGGAAUAUUCUUGAGCUUACUGUGAGACUACUCUCAACAAGCAACAUGCAGCAAACUGUGGAGCACAGUAAUGCACCGCAUGAGGUAGUACGUCCUGACCAGGUAAGGUCUGUAUCAGGACAGUACUGUAACCACAGACCAAUGUCACAGUAUACACUUUGAAAGGUUUUUAGUUUUUUUUCAUUUAAUUCCUUUCUGAGUAAAAGAUCACUCAAAAAGUCUUAUUAUUUAAGGAAUGAGUUCUCAGAGGUGAACUUUAAAUGAUACUUUCUUGUAUUCCUUCAUGGAUACUUAGGGAAGAUUUUUCUCAAAGUAAGAAAGAACAUAGUGAGGUGGGUGCUCAUGGUGUACUCUGGACUACCCUAUGUGUGUCUCAAAAGUUGUUAGCUCUGUCUUGUGCUUGGCAGAAACUGGAGACAGUGGUACCUAUGAAGCGUGUUAGAGAUGACACAAUAGACUUUGAAGAAUCUGUAUGCUUUUUGUGAUACUGUAGUGUUUUAUAAUUUUUAACAUGCAUCUGCUGCAUCUGUACCUUUGAUGAUACUUUAGAUUUGUAAAAGUGAAAACCAAAAUCCAGCGCAAUCUCUGAACGUGACUAAGAUUUCAUGUAUAACAUACACCUUUAACAUUACAAAUAGGCAGUAUUAAACAAAAGCUGCUUGUUCACUGUUUUGAAUUUCACCCACCUAGAAAAAUCAGUCCUGUGACACUCACAAUGUUUUCAAAUUUCUCUCUGAGACCCUCU